rnacentral:lncRNA from 1 species
CGUCGCCGCCUUAAGUGGCUGCUGCGUAGCGACGUCAGAAGCCGACAUUGAGAGGAGCAGGAAAGCAUCCCUUGGAGACAAAACAUUCCUUCUAUAGCAACUGGGCUUGAAGCAGCAGAAUUAUGUAAUUGGGCGUUUUGUCUAAUUACAUUGCCAAGCACAAUAAAACUGUCUCUCUUGUGAAAUAUGUGCACAGAAAAACAAGUGGCACUCGAAGCAAACUGAUCGUCGCACAUCGAAAUCGGUACUGCGGGUCGAGUGCGUUGGCUAUUCAAUAUGACUCGUUAUUUAUUCCAGCGCAACGGUACGCUACAGAAUGCACAAACCUAUUCGCGUCAAAACGAAAUCUGAUCAUAUAGAGUAAGUAUAAACGUCACUAGCAAUAUUUUUACGAUGAGAAUAGGUGAUAACAUUCAGGACAUGUAUGGCUCCUCUCGCGCUAUGCAACAGCUGGUUAGCCGGUGAAA